rnacentral:lncRNA from 1 species
UAACUUGCCUGAGAAAAAUAACUUAAUUGUCACAUUUUAAUGUUGUUUCGUACAAAGUUUUGUAGCAGUUUUCAUUAUACAUGAUAUAAAAGCAUGUCAUAGGUUUUGUUUGCCAAUUUAAAUAUGCCAACUUGUCAUAUUUACAUACAACUUUGCCAGAAAACUAUUUUAUGUGCUUGUUAAUUUAACUAUGUUGAGUUGUCAUAUUUACAAAUGAUGACCAAAAAAGAUUUCUU